rnacentral:rRNA from 2 species
GACUCCAUGAAGUCGGAAUCGCUAGUAAUCGUGGAUCAGAAUGCCACGGUGAAUACGUUCCCGGGCCUUGUACACACCGCCCGUCACACCAUGGGAGUGGGUUGCAAAAGAAGUAGGUAGCUUAACCUUCGGGAGGGCGCUUACCACUUUGUGAUUCAUGACUGGGGUGAAGUCGUAACAAGGUAACCGUAGGGGAACCUGCGGUUGGAUCACCUCCUUACCUUAAAGAA